AUGACCGUUGCCGAUCGUCUUUCCGUCGACGGAAACGACGGGAAAGCAGAUGCUGGUAGCAGCGGUGAUGAAGACCUCCCGCGCUGCGAGCAUUUCU
rnacentral:sRNA from 1 species